rnacentral:rRNA from 1 species
GACGAACGCUGGCGGCGUGCUUAACACAUGCAAGUCGAACGAAGUGGCGAACGGGUGAGUAACGCGUAAUCAACCUGCCCUUCAGAGGGGGACAACAGUUGGAAACGACUGCUAAUACCGCAUACUGAAGGCGUGGUUUGCGUGUGAUUUGCUAGUUGGGGGGGUAACGGCCCACCAAGGCGAUGAUCAGUAGCCGGUCUGAGAGGAUGAACCGCCACAUUGGGACUGAGACACGGCCCAGACUCCUACGGGAGGCAGCAGGUGGGAAUCUUCCGAAAUGGACGAAAGUCCGACGGCGCCACGCCGCGGGAGUGAUGAAGGCCUUCGGGUUGUAAAGCUCCGUUAAUCGGGGCGCAGUACCGGAAUAGAAAGCCACGGCUAACUACGUGCCAGCAGCCGCGGUAAUAC